CACACUCAAUGAGUGGAGGUUCAAUCUGAGCUUCUCUUGAGUGUCAAUGCUGUUUUUGAACAGCUGUAUGGAGGGUGAGUACAGUAGUUACCGAGUAAGGUACGACACUAACCCUCCAGCUAUUCAAAAACAGCAUUUAACACUCAAAAGAAGCUCAGAUUGAAUCUCCACUCAUUGAGUGU